rnacentral:lncRNA from 1 species
UCACAUAUAAGUCACUUGUUGCUAAUUAUUUACCAGAAAUGACUUGUUAGGAUUUGUGAUAUUUUUCACUAUAUAGAAAAGUAUGUGGCAUGUAUCUCAUAGCAAACAAUGGCUUUCCCUAAGGCAAACAACCACUCCUUUUCUUCUGUUCUUACAAAAAUCAAUUUAUCACUCUCAUCCCACAACACAAUGCUCACACCCACAACUCAUUCCGCGGCUGCUCUGCCCACCACGGCUUCUCAUUGUUGCCUUCCUUCGAUGCCACGUCAUUUAGCACGCACCUUGCUCUCACCCUCCCUGUUCCCUCCUCUCCACGGCGUCACCGGCCGCUCCUCUCCACUCCACGGCGUCACCGGCCGCUCCUCCAAGGAGUACACAUCAUCGUAGCCGAGGGCGACCACCACGACAACACAACAUGUUGUUCAUCGCAACGCCACACCUUCUCUGAGCAUAUACCAAGCUUAUGUGUACAUCCUUUUACCUAGUAGAUAUAAAUAUUUCAAUGGUUCUACAUGUCCUUGCAGAUAUAUCCACCUCACUACUACUACCACAGCGGGUUCCUUGCUGCAAAAUGAAUUGACAAAUAUUAACAUUGACAAAAGAUCAUUUUAUGCUAUAACAUAUGCAAUAAGUGUAUAAUUUCCAUGGGUUUACCCAUGAUUUGAUGGCCCCAAGCCAUUCUUUUAAAACAAUAGAUGAAUACUCAUGCAUUGGCAUGGAACGAUAAACUUAAAACACUGAUAAAAAAAUUGUAAUCCAUAACAUGUCGCUUGUGGCUUAUGAAUGCUUUCCGAUAAAUAUCACUAUGUAUUACUGUUAAGACAACAAAUUUAAAGAUCAACUAUAACGCCAACCAUAGAUCGACUGGAAUUGCAUCUACGCAUGGAUGUCAUUUAGCUUUAGACGUAACAAUAAACUGCAGAGAUAAUAGUGUACCUCUAAAUGUAAAACUGUCCAAGCAACAAGUUUUUGUUGUUAGUACAAAUGCAAUUGAUGUUGCCGAAAUAAUUCAUCUUCUUGGUCCAUAAAAUAAUAGAAGCUUAGAACCAGAGCAUCUUAUCAUAAGUGAUCAAAGUUGUUAUCUUGCAAUAGUGGGAAUACUUGGAAUAUCCUUUAACUAUACAAAGUUGUCGACACUGUCAACUCUGAUCCUACAACAGAUUGAUGCCCACUGCCCACCUCAUGUUUUCAUGAAAAAAUAUACGUGACAAGAUAUGUAUACAAAGCUUCCAUGUAGAGAUGCAACCUUCAUCAAGCAAGGAAAUGUGCCUUCUUAGAGAAAAGAGCAUGCGCAGGAACAUCACUCAUUCAAUGAAGGAACAAUAAUAAUCAGGCAUCAGGUUCACAUCUCGGCGUU